AACUCACUGACACAGAAAUCGACAGGAAGUGCGGAGUGGAAAUGUGUUGUAUGUCUUUACCGAUAUUGGUAAAGACGUAUCACGCAUACUUAGUCAUUGUCACGCUAGAGAGAUAUAUAAUAUAUAUAGUAUUUAUAUACACACACA